GAGUAAGCGAGCGUAAGAACAACAGCGACCCCCUUCCCCUUUCUCUCUCUCUAUUCUCUCUUUGUUUGUUGUUGAGAGAAAAUAUCAGUCACUUCCCUUCCCCUUCCCUCUCAAUUUCUUUUACUUUCUCACCUCAAUUCUCAUCUACACACUCCCUCCUUCAAUUUCCAGCUGAACCCGAAAGAAAGAAAACAAAAACAUCAGAAACUCAUAUCCAAACCCUUCCUGUAGAGAGAGAAAAAGAAUCACACACAAAAGAAAAAGAAAAACCAUUUCUUGACAACUUUGCCUCUUUUGCAACUCUCUCACAGACACACAGGAAUUGAAGAAGAAAAUUGGGGGAUUGUAUUAUGCGGAGGGAAUUGGUGGAUUAAUUUUGGAUCCGGCGGCGAUAUGAAGGAUCAGAAGAAGAAGAAUAACUGUAAUUAUUGUUUAUGAUAUGGGAAUCGCAAAAGGUCCAUUAAUUUUGUCCAAUAAGCCAACAACAAAUUGUGCCAAUUCUUCUAUGUCCCACGAUUAUCAUCAAGGAAUCUUCUCCAGUUUCUCUAAUGCCUUGGACAAAUCACCCGCCCAUCUCUCCGCCCACCUCCCGCCCCAGAUCCGCCGCGACAAGCUCAGACCCGACGCCUUUGCCGACGAUGACGCUCUCGCGCCUGUCGCGGACGACAUAGAU